GAUGAACGCUGGCGGCGUGCCUAAUACAUGCAAGUCGAGCGAACAGACGAGGAGCUUGCUCCUCUGACGUUAGCGGCGGACGGGUGAGUAACACGUGGAUAACCUCCCUAUAAGACUGGGAUAACUUCGGGAAACCGGAGCUAAUACCGGAUAAUAUAUUGAACCGCAUGGUUCAAUAGUGAAAGACGGUUUUGCUGUCACUUAUAGAUGGAUCCGCGCCGCAUUAGCUAGUUGGUAAGGUAACGGCUUACCAAGGCAACGAUGCGUAGCCGACCUGAGAGGGUGAUCGGCCACACUGGAACUGAGACACGGUCCAGACUCCUACGGGAGGCAGCAGUAGGGAAUCUUCCGCAAAGGGCGAAAGCUUGACGGAGCAACGCCGCGUGAGUGAUGAAGGUCUUCGGAUCGUAAAACUCUGUUAUUAGGGAAGAACAAAUGUGUAAGUAACUAUGCACGUCUUGACGGUACCUAAUCAGAAAGCCACGGCUAACUACGUG
rnacentral:rRNA from 1 species